AUGAAUGAUGGUUGUAUAUAAUUUUUUACAUGAUUUCUCUCUAUAAAAUUAUACAAUUUUCUUCUUAAAGAUUCUCAAAUCUCAUCCGUUCUUUUUCUGAUAUUGAGGAAUUUGUCGUUCAAAUUGCGAGUUAUUUAUAUUUUUGAGGUUUUAAAGCAAUUUUCUUUAUUAUUGAACUUUUAUUGUCUGUAAGCGUCAUUUGUUUUUUGGGUCAUUUCCUAUUGGAUUUGAAUAUGCAUGUACUAAUUUUUCUGUUAUACUUAUUCAUGUUUGGAUUUAGGUAGUGAGAUGCAAUCUUAUGGAUGAUUUUGAGUACAAACUCAAAGAUAAUGGACUAUUGUAGGCAUUUUCUCCUCCAUUUUCUCUUCAGGUUAAGAGUUGGUGCAACAAAGGUGUUUGAUGGUAUGCUUGAACCAAAUAGAAGAUUUUUCUUACAGCUUUUCUACAAUAUAUUUCUCUGUCAAUUCUGAAGAUUUUGGUUCAGUAUGGACUUUCUUUGGCUUCUGAUGGUGAGUCUAAGUUGUUAUGAUUGAAGUUAAACGAAGAUUAUUAUUGCACUUUUUGGUGCUUUAGUGAUUGAUUGGAAAAACAUUGGCAUAUUUGAUGAGAGAAGAGGAAAAAGUAGAGACGUCGCCCUUGACAGUGUUUGCUUCGUUCCCCACAUAGGAGGGCGAUGAUGAGUCCAAUAUGUCUACCAAUCAACUGCUUUUGUUAUGAAAAAUACAGGGAUCACCUGCUCAAAUUUACUGAUAAUGAGUCAAGGAACAAAUACUUAACAUGAAUCAAUCGAAGAAGCUUUUUGUUCAUUCUUCCAAGUUGUAAUGAUUUUUUAGUACUGAUAUGAUAUUUGUCAUUAGUCCAUAUUAAAUUUAACCAUUUGAACCGCAUUUUACUUAGGUGUACGGUAUAAUUUUCCAGCGAAGGGUGUUCAAUCUAAGUUGUACGGACUCUUCACGUUUGAUGCCGCACCCGUGUUGGAUUCGCCAAAAAUACCCAUUCAAAUAGGAUUUUGGAGAAAGAAAGGUUUAUAUAACGGGUAUUGAAAAAGGUUUUAUACCAAGUUUUCAUUGUAAUAAGAAAAAUAUUUUGUUGAAUAAACUGUUUUCUUGUUGAGAAAAAAAUUAUUGCCGAGAGUGUACUAUCAAAUCAUGAGUGAUGACUGGGCAGGUAAUUGCGUUCUUAUGAUAUUAGGUUUGUAUGCUAUUGAUAGUUAUAGAAAGCAUCGGAAGGAGCAGAAUGUCAAGAAGGAGGAGCAGAAUGUCAAGUUGAAAGUAUUAAGAGAGGUAAAUCAACAACGUGAAGAUCACAUUUUGGCAGAAAGGGAAAGUUGUUUCCCCUCCAUCCAUAUAUGCACGUUUGGAAGAGGAAGAGAAGGCGCUUAGUCCUGGAAGAGAAGAGGAAGGAAAUAACUAGCUGUCUCAGUUUAGUAAUGUUUUAAGAUUAGUCAAUUUUUAUAUAUAAGUUUUUCUUUUAGUCUUUUUUAAUC